UAGGGAAUCUUCGGCAAUGGGGGGAACCCUGACCGAGCAACGCCGCGUGAGUGAAGAAGGUUUUCGGAUCGUAAAGCUCUGGUGUUAAGGAAGAACGAGUGUGAGAAUGGAAAGUUCAUGCUGUGACGGUACCUAACCAGAAAGCCACGGCUAACUACGUGCCAGCAGCCGCGGUAAUACGUAGGUGGCAAGCGUUGUCCGGAAUUAUUGGGCGUAAAGCGCGCGCAGGUGGUUUAGAAAGUCUGAUGUGAAAGCCCACGGCUCAACCGUGGAGGGUCAUUGGAAACUAAUAAACUUGAGUGCAGGAGAGAAAAGUGGAAUUCCGAGUGUAGCGGUGAAAUGCGUAGAGAUUAGGAUGAAAACCGGUGGCGAAAGCGGCUUUUUGGCCUGAAACUGACACUGAGGCGCGAAAGCGUGGGGAGCAAACAGG
rnacentral:rRNA from 1 species